rnacentral:rRNA from 2 species
UUAACAAAAACAUGUCCUUUUGUCUAAUAAUUUAAGGUCUAAUCUGCCCAAUGAUUUGAAUUAAAUGGCCGCGAUAUCUUGAUCGUGCGAAGGUAGCAUAAUCAUUAGUUUCUUAAUUAGAAGCUUGAAUGAAAGAUUGGAUGAGAUAAAUACUGUCUCGGAGUAAAAGGUUGAAUUUUAUUUUUAAGUAAAAAAGCUUAGAUUUUUUUAAAAGACGAGAAGACCCUAUAGAGUUUAAUAAUUAAAUUUAAUUGAUGUAUAAGGGAUUUAAUGGUUUAAUUUUUUUUAAUUAUUUGGUUGGGGUGACAGGAAAAUUUUAUUAACUUUUUUUUAGUUGGAUAUUAAUAAAUAGGUUUUUGAUUUGUUUAACAGUUAAAAGAUUAAAUUACCUUAGGGAUAACAGCGUUAUUUUUCUUGAGAGUUCAAAUCGAAAGAAGAGUUUGCGACCUCGAUGUUGGAUUAAAAUAUAUUCUUGGUGUAGAAGCUGAGUUAGUUAGUCUGUUCGACUAUUAAAAUUUUACAUGAUCUGAGUUUAAACCGGCGUGAGCCAGGUUGGUUUCUAUCUUUAAUUUUAUAAUAUAUUUUAGUACGAAAGGACCAAAUAUGUGUUAAAUUAAUUUUUUAUCGAAUUUUAUU